GAUAAACGCUAGCGGCAGGCUUAACACAUGCAAGUCGAGGGGCAGCAUAGAUUGUAGCAAUACAAUUGGUGGCGACCGGCGCACGGGUGCGUAACGCGUAUGCAACCUACCCGUCACAGGGGGAUAAUCCGGAGAAAUCUGGUCUAAUACCCCAUAACAUAUGGAUCGGCAUCGGUUCAUGUUGAAAUUUUCGGAGGUGACGGAUGGGCAUGCGUAGCAUUAGCUUGUUGGUGAGGUAACGGCUCACCAAGGCGACGAUGCUUAGGGGGACUGAGAGGUUUUCCCCCACACUGGUACUGAGACACGGACCGGACUCCUACGGGAGGCAGCAGUGAGGAAUAUUGGUCAAUGGGCGCAAGUCUGAACCAGCCAUGCCGCGUGCAGGAUGACGGCUCUAUGAGUUGUAAACUGCUUUUGUACGAGGGUAAAGUGGGUUACGUGUAACCUUUUGAAAGUAUCGUACGAAUAAGGAUCGGCUAACUCCGUGCCAGCCGCCGCCGUAA
rnacentral:rRNA from 1 species